CCUACGGGCGGCAGCAGUGGGGAAUAUUGCACAAUGGGGGAAACCCUGAUGCAGCGACGCCGCGUGAGUGAAGAAGUAUUUCGGUAUGUAAAGCUCUAUCAGCAGGGAAGAAAAUGACGGUACCUGAUUAAGAAGCCCCGGCUAACUACGUGCCAGCAGCCGCGGUAAUACGUAGGGGGCAAGCGUUAUCCGGAUUUACUGGGUGGAAAGGGAGCGUAGACGGCAGCACAAGUCUGGAGUGAAAUGCCGGGGCUUAACCCCGGAACUGCUGUGGAAACUGUGCAGCUAGAGUGAAGGAGAGGUAAGUGGAAUUCCAAGAGGAGCGGUGAAAUGCGUAGAUAUUAGGAGGAACACCAGUGGCGAAGGCGGCUUACUGGACUGUAACUGACGUUGAGGCUCGAAAGCGUGGGGAGCAAACAGGAUUAGAUACCCGUGUAGUC
rnacentral:rRNA from 1 species